GAUACUGUCAAAUUUCUGUGAGGUUUUUUUCCAAGUUUUUCAUUCUGGUCUUCUCCCAACCCUGCAAACGUCCCUCUCUCUCAACAAAGAUUGAAAUCGGUGACUGCUAAUUCAUAACAAAAUCCAGAUCCGGUGGAAAAGUUAGAGAAAGAAGAAUCUACAGCGUUGAUUAGAUCGGAUGGCUAUCUUUUGUUUGACUGCGUGACCUUAUCAAAUUAAGGACUGCAGUGAAUCACGGUCCGCAGAACAGAACAGACGAAGUACGCGGGACAUAUAUGGAUAGGGUUUUGAACACAAACAACAUCACAGGUCCGAGGUCGUUUUCCUCUCUCUUUGUUUUCUUUCUUUAACGAAAUGCUGCGUGGAACCGUUUCAAUGGCCAAACGCACCCCUCUUUUUUCUAUUCUCACCCAUCGCCCAUUUCUAUCUUCUUUCUCUCUCAAACACACUUUCAACCGUGCCACUCUUCCCUUCACUACCACCACCAUCAACAACACUUUAUCUCAAACACCCACUUCCCAAAACAACACUGAAUCAACCACUCACCCCAUCAAGCUUUCAACCAAAGCCAGAAGAAAAGCUGCUCAAGAAUCCCCCGUUGGAAUUUUACAAAAAAAACUCAACAACUGUUCUAAAACCAGUGAUGUUCUACAAGCACUAAACCUCUACGAUGAAGCGCGAAAAGCGCAUGUUCCCCUCAAUCUUGAUCAUUAUAAUAAACUCUUGUACCUAUGUACUGUGCAAAAUGGUGAUGGAAGUUUUUUUCAUUUGGGUCUUCAAAGAGGUUUUGAGAUUUUUGAACAGAUGUUAAGGGACAAUGUUGAACCGAAUGAAGCGACGUUUACUAAUGCUGCUAGGUUAGCUGCUGCUAAGGAGGAUCCUGAGAUGGCAUUUGAGUUGUUGAAGCAGAUGAAGAGAGUUGGAAUUGCACCAAAGUUGAGGUCUUAUGGUCCAGCUUUGUAUGGUUUUUGUGCGAGAGGGGAUGCUAUGAAAGCUUAUGAGGUUGAUGAUGAUAUGAUUGAGUCAGGUGUUAUGGCGGAGGAGGAUGAGCUCUGUGCACUUUUGGAGGUUAGUGUUGAGGUGAAGAAUGAAGAUAAGGUGUAUGAGAUAUUGCAUCGGUUAAGGGCCGUGGUUAGGCAGGUGUCUGAGUCGACUUUGAAGGUUAUUGAGGAUUGGUUUGAGUCGGAAUAUGCGAUGAAAAUUGGGAAGAGGGAGUGGGAUGAUGAGGAGAUAAGAGAAGGGUUUGUGAGGGGAGGUGGUGGAUGGCAUGGUCAAGGGUGGCUUGGAAGCGGGGAAUGGAAGGUUGUUAAGACGAAUGUAGAUGAGGAUGGAAUGUGUCUUUCAUGCAGUGAGAAGCUUGUGAGCAUUGAUAUUGAUCCAAAAGAGACUGAAAACUUUGCUGCCUCGUUGUCUAAAUUGGCUCAUGAAAAACAACCUAAGGCAAACUUCAAUCAUUUUCAGAAGUGGCUUGAAAAGAAUGGCCCGUUUGAUGCUGUUGUUGAUGGUGCAAAUGUAGGACUGGCCAACAUUGCUGAAUUCAGCUUUAAACAGCUUGAUUAUGUUGUUCGACAAUUGCGUCAACUGAGCCCUUCAAAGAGAUUGCCACUUAUAAUUUUGCAUGUUAAUCGAGUAACUGGUGGUCCUGCUCAGAAUCCAAAUAACAAGAGACUUAUAGAAAAUUGGAAAAAAAAUGGUGUUCUUUAUGCUACUCCCCAUGGUUCAAAUGACGAUUGGUACUGGUUAUAUGCCGCAGUUAGUUGUAAAUGCUUACUUUUGACAAAUGAUGAGAUGAGGGACCACUUGUUCCAACUACUGGGUUCUAGUUUUUUCCCAAGAUGGAAGGAAAAGCACCAGGUUCGAGUAUCAGUCUCAACUCGUGGAGCAUCCCUAGUUCUACCUCCUCGCUACUCACUAGUUAUUCAGGAAUCAGCCAAUGGAAGUUGGCAUGUGCCAACUGUAGUUAGCGAUGAACCUGAUAUCCCAAGGAAAUGGUUGUGUGUCACUAGAUCUAGAAAAAAACUCAUUACAUAAUCUAUGGACAUCAACCUCCACGUCUGAUGGCACUUGAGGAGGAAGAGGGAGUGUUUUCGUCUUGGUUGUUUUCAGUAGUCAUCCAAAUUAUUUUCUCACCUUGAAUCGCAGAUGCGUGCAGCUGUGAUUAUUGCAAGGUGAAGACAAGUUUAAGCGGUAUGAAUGAAAGCCUAGAAGGGGGAAGCAUAUGAAGUCAAUUUGCUCAUAUAUUUUGCCCAAGAACCUCAGGUCAAGUGGCAUUAAGUUUUUAUAGGAGCAAUUGAUUGCAGGAUCGGAACCUGCCGAGUCCAAUUUGUUACUGCUUCAGUCUACCUUUAUAGACCUCCAUUGUUUAAUUAAGAAACAAAGGAUAAUUGCAUUGUUAUACUCUGUACCAUUAAUAUCCAUAAAAUAUGCACUCAAUUGAGUGUUAGGGAUGAUUAUUAUUGGUACCAUAGAGUUCAGAAAUUAACUGUACACAAUCUUUUGGCCUAUUUAAAUUAUUAAUCUAUUCUAUUCAUUUGCUGA